AUGCUCGCUUCAGUAGUACAUAUACUAAAAUUGGGAUGAUACAGAAAUUAGUAUGGUCCCUGCACAAGGAUGACACACAAAUUUGUGAAGCAUUCCAUAUUUUU